rnacentral:rRNA from 1 species
GAUGAACGCUGGCGGCGUGCCUAACACAUGCAAGUCGAGCGAACCCUUCGGGGUGAGCGGCGGACGGGUGAGUAACGCGUGGGUAACCUGCCCUGUACACACGGAUAACAUACCGAAAGGUAUGCUAAUACGAGAUAAUAUAUUUUAAUCGCAUGGUUAAGAUAUCAAAGCUCCGGCGGUACAGGAUGGACCCGCGUCUGAUUAGCUAGUUGGUGAGGUAAUGGCUCACCAAGGCGACGAUCAGUAGCCGACCUGAGAGGGUGAUCGGCCACACUGGAACUGAGACACGGUCCAG